rnacentral:rRNA from 1 species
GGUGAACGCUGGCGGCGUGCCUAAGACAUGCAAGUCGAACGGGCCUGAUUUCGGUCAGGCUAGUGGCGGACGGGUGAGUAACACGUGGGUGAUCUACCCAAAGUCUGGGACAACUAGGGGAAACCUUAGCUAAUCCCGGAUGGUGAGGCUUCUCCUGUGAAGUCUCUAAAGAUUUAUCGCUUUGGGAUGAGCCCGCGGUGCAUCAGCUAGUUGGUGGGGUAAUGGCCUACCAAGGCGACGACGCGUAGCUGGUCUGAGAGGACGACCAGCCACAGGAGCACUGAGACACGGGCUCC